rnacentral:lncRNA from 1 species
GAGACCGAAAGCGGAAGUCACGGGGAGCUGGCGGCUGGGUUGGGCGGCGGAUCUGCAGAGUUUCGAGGUUCUGUCAAGUUCGCUGCCCGCCGCCCAACUUGAAGCCUCAUUUACCUUUCGGCUACCUGAUUUGGAUAAAUGGAGAAAAACCGGGGCCUCUAACUCAUAAUGCCCUCCCGCGUUCAAGAUGCCAGUUUUGGGGCGGAGAUUUCUAAAUUAAAGCCUACAUCCCGCGCGGGAAUAUCUGCUGGUAAUUUCUCGCCUGCCAGAAAACUCCUUUGAUCUCUGGCUGUGGAGACUCGGGACCCCUACCCAAGUAUGGGACACUGCCUCCGUUGGGGUUAUCUCAGAUCAAUGGAAUGGGAACAAGCUAUCCGGCCUGGGCGCCGUUCACGUCUCACAUCUGAGAUCGUAACACCGACUGUGCUUAGGACCUCAGCAAUAACUUUUUGCCGUCUCUGGCCCACUGACUCCUCUCAAAAUGUCCCCUGGUCCUUUUGCUAUUCACGUAUUUCUGUGGGCUUGAGAUUUGCUUAACUCCUAUAUUGGCAAAAGGCCACUUGAAAUCGCUAGCAGAUACUCGAUAACCUGAAAGGAUAUUGCCUGGGGACACCUGACAACAGAAAGUCUAAGGUUUUCAUCUAGGAUUGGGAGUUACCCCAACACCAGCAGGAUGCAGGAAAAAGUAACUGACCGGAUGGUUGCCUCAAUCUGUUGAUUCUUCAGUGAGUUAGCUCAGAUUUUGUCCAGGAACAGCUUUCAGAGCCAAAGAUUACGUAUUGAACUUUACCAAGGCAUCUGGUGACUAGAAAACUCC